rnacentral:rRNA from 1 species
UAAUACAGAGACCUCAAGCGUUAUCCGGAAUCAUUGGGCGUAAAGCGUACCGAUCGGUUGUUUUACAAGUCAGAAGUGAAAUCUCAAGGCUCAACCUUGAGACUGUCUUUUGAAACUGUAAAACUAGAAGGGCAAAGAGGAAGCUGGAACAAACGGUGUAGUAGUGAAAUGCGUUGAUAUCGUUUGGAACACCAAUAGCGAAGGCAGGCUUCUGGGUGCCUCUUGACACUGCUAGGACGAAAGCGUGGGGAGCGAAUGGGAUUAGAUACCCCAGUAGUCCACGCUGUAAACGAUGCAUAUUAGGUGCUAGAGAGUAUCGACCCUCUUUAGUACCAAAGCUAACGCGUUAAAUAUGCCGCCUGGGGAGUACGGCCGCAAGGCUA